GGCGGGCCGGAGCGGCUCUAUCGCGUGCGGGCCGCUUGCCGGGCGGUUCGGCGCAGUUCGACUCCGUGGCCCGUCGCCA
rnacentral:tRNA from 1 species